rnacentral:miRNA from 1 species
CACAGUCUCUGCGCCUUU